rnacentral:rRNA from 1 species
CGCUAGCUACAGGCUUAACACAUGCAAGUCGAGGGGCAGCAUGGUCUUAGCUUGCUAAGGCCGAUGGCGACCGGCGCACGGGUGAGUAACGCGUAUCCAACCUGCCUUACACUCUUGGACAGCCUUCUGAAAGGGAGAUUAAUACAAGAUGUUAUCAUGAGUAAGCAUUUUCGCAUGAUUAAAGGUUUACCGGUGUAAGAUGGGGAUGCGUUCCAUUAGAUAGUAGGCGGGGUAACGGCCCACCUAGUCUUCGAUGGAUAGGGGUUCUGAGAGGAAGGUCCCCCACAUUGGAACUGAGACACGGUCCAAACUCCUACGGGAGGCAGCAGUGAGGAAUAUUGGUCAAUGGACGAGAGUCUGAACCAGCCAAGUAGCGUGAAGGAUGAAGGUUCUAUGGAUUGUAAACUUCUUUUAUACGGGAAUAAACGAAUCCACGCGUGGAUUUUUGCAUGUACCGUAUGAAUAAGGAUCGGCUAACUCCGUGCCAGCAGCCGCGGUAAUACGGAGGAUCCGAGCGUUAUCCGGAUUUAUUGGGUUUAAAGGGAGCGUAGAUGGGUUGUUAAGUCAGUUGUGAAAGUUUGCGGCUCAACCGUAAAAUUGCAAUUGAUACUGGCAGUCUUGAGUACAGUUGAGGUAGGCGGAAUUCGUGGUGUAGCGGUGAAAUGCUUAGAUAUCACGAAGAACUCCGAUUGCGAAGGCAGCUUACUAACCUGUAACUGACAUUGAUGCUCGAAAGUGUGGGUAUCAAACAGGAUUAGAUACCCUGGUAGUCCACACGGUAAACGAUGAAUACUCGCUGUAGGCGAUAUACAGUCUGCGGCCAAGCGAAAGCAUUAAGUAUUCCACCUGGGGAGUACGCCGGCAACGGUGAAACUCAAAGGAAUUGGCGGGGGCCCGCACAAGCGGAGGAACAUGUGGUUUAAUUCGAUGAUACGCGAGGAACCUUACCCGGGCUUAAAUUGCAACCGAAUAUGGCGGAAACGCUAUAGCUAGCAAUAGCGGUUGUGAAGGUGCUGCAUGGUUGUCGUCAGCUCGUGCCGUGAGGUGUCGGCUUAAGUGCCAUAACGAGCGCAACCCUUGCCGAUAGUUACUAACAGGUUAUGCUGAGGACUCUGUCGGGACUGCCAUCGUAAGAUGUGAGGAAGGUGGGGAUGACGUCAAAUCAGCACGGCCCUUACGUCCGGGGCUACACACGUGUUGCAAUGGGGGGUACAGAGGGCUGCUACCACGCAAGUGGAUGCCAAUCCCAAAAACCUCUCUCAGUUCGGAUUGAAGUCUGCAACCCGACUUCAUGAAGCUGGAUUCGCUAGUAAUCGCGCAUCAGCCACGGCGCGGUGAAUACGUUCCCGGGCCUUGUACACACCGCCCGUCAAGCCAUGGGAGCCGGGGGUACCUGAAGCGCGUAACCGCAAGGAGCGCCCUAGGGUAAAACUGGUGACUGGGGCUA